rnacentral:lncRNA from 1 species
GGAUUGACAGCUUCUAAAUAUUGUGAAGUGAAUUAUGGAAUAGAAAUGUGAUUGGUAUUAUUUGAGAAGAAGAAAGAUUGAAUGUUGAAAUCUGAUUGUAGUUCAGCAGAGAGAAUGAGUCUAUGUUUGUGUGAAACAUCGUAAUGUGAAUGGCAGUUCUGUAUGAAGAAUUCCAAUGAUUAGAAUGAGGGUAAUUGUGUGCUGAAAGCUAUGAAGGCGUAGUAUUAUAGUUGGAGAUUAUGAGGGUGAAUAUAUUGGUAGAAAUAGCAGUUAUUGGUAUGACUGAAUUGCUAUAAGGAAGAGACCGAUAAGGUGAAGGAGGAGAUUAUAGUUUUUUUGUGUGUUCAGAUAUUGAAAAUAGAGACAAUACAUUCAGGAGGUAAUUGAUUGUGUGACCCUAAAGUGAAUGCUUAAGCAACUAGUCAUUCCCCGUGUUCGAAUUCUCCUAUACGGGUUUAUUUCCAUUAGAUUAAUUUAGAAUAAGUAAAAUGAGCAAUCAUAUUUUGGCGCCACUACUAGGGAGCAAUCACAUUUUGUCGCCGCUACCGGGAGUGAUAAUAGCUUUGAGUAUUAGGAAUUA